AUUGAACGCUGGCGGCAUGCUUUACACAUGCAAGUCGAACGGCAGCGCGGGCUUCGGCCUGGCGGCGAGUGGCGAACGGGUGAGUAAUACAUCGGAACGUGCCCAGUAGUGGGGGAUAGCUCGGCGAAAGCCGGAUUAAUACCGCAUACGACCUGAGGGUGAAAGCGGGGGAUCUUCGGACCUCGCGCUAUUUGAUCGGCCGAUGGCAGAUUAGCUAGUUGGUGGGGUAAAGGCCUACCAAGGCGACGAUCUGUAGCUGGUCUGAGAGGACGACCAGCCACACUGGGACUGAGACACGGCCCAGACUCCUACGGGAGGCAGCAGUGGGGAAUUUUGGACAAUGGGCGAAAGCCUGAUCCAGCAAUGCCGCGUGUGUGAUGAAGGCCUUCGGGUUGUAAAGCACUUUUGGCGGGAACGAAAAGGACUGUGCCAAUACCACGGUUCGAUGACGGUACCCGCAGAAUAAGCACCGGCUAACUACGUG
rnacentral:rRNA from 1 species